UUAGAGGAAGUAAAAGUCGUAACAAGGUCUCCGUAGGUGAACGUGCGGGAGGGAUCAUUACAGAGUUUUUAACUCCUAAGACCUUGUGAUCUUACCACUGUUUCCUCGGUGGAAGGUACCCGGUAGGGUGUUGGAAGCCGGUGGACAUUCUAGCCUCUUGUUAAUUGUUGAUUUGUUCAUGAAUCCAAUCUACGAAAUACUUUACUACUUUCAACAAGGUUGAUCUGUUGGUUCUGGCAUCGAUGGACAGAACGCAUGCGUAAUGCGAUAAGUGUUGUGAAUUGCAUAAUUCAGAUGAAUCAUCUUCUCUUUGAACGCACAUUGCGCCCAUUAGUAUUCUAUUGGGCAUGCCUGUUGGAGCGUCAUUUCAACCGUUAAGCGUAGUUUAUUGUUGGGAGAUUGCCUAAUGACUCAGCUCCUCUAAACCAGAUGGCAGAGUGUUUUACGUACUUCUGAGCGCCUUAACGGUUCUCUUGCUCGCUUUUGAACUCGUCAUAGGCGAUAUCCGGAAACCGCUUGCUUCGGCAGCACUUUUUUAAUGGUUGACCUCGGCUCAAGUAAGAAUACCCGCUGAACUUAACCAUAUCUA
rnacentral:rRNA from 1 species